GACGAACGCUGGCGGCGUGCUUAACACAUGCAAGUCGAACGGAAAGGCCCUGCUUGCAGGGUACUCGAGUGGCGAACGGGUGAGUAACACGUGGGUGAUCUGCCCUGCACUUCGGGAUAAGCCUGGGAAACUGGGUCUAAUACCGGAUAGGAGCCAUUUUUAGUGUGAUGGUUGGAAAGUUUUUUCGGUGUAGGAUGAGCUCGCGGCCUAACAGCUUGUUGGUGGGGUAAUGGCCUACCAAGGCGGCGACGGGUAGCCGGCCUGAGAGGGUGGACGGCCACAUUGGGACUGAGAUACGGCCCAGACUCCUACGGGAGGCAGCAGUGGGGAAUAUUGCACAAUGGGCGCAAGCCUGAUGCAGCGACGCCGCGUGGGGGAUGACGGCCUUCGGGUUGUAAACUCCUUUCGCUAGGGACGAAGCUUUUUGUGACGGUACCUAGAUAAGAAGCACCGGCUAACUACGUG
rnacentral:rRNA from 1 species